GACGAACGCUGGCGGCGUGCCUAAUACAUGCAAGUUGAGCGCUGAAGGUUGGUACUUGUACCGACUGGAUGAGCAGCGCACGGGUGAGUAACGCGUGGGGAAUCUGCCUUUGAGCGGGGGACAACAUUUGGAAACGAAUGCUAAUACCGCAUAAAAACUUUAAACACAAGUUUUAAGUUUGAAAGAUGCAAUUGCAUCACUCAAAGAUGAUCCCGCGUUGUAUUAGCUAGUUGGUGAGGUAAAGGCUCACCAAGGCGAUGAUACAUAGCCGACCUGAGAGGGUGGUCGGCCACAUUGGGACUGAGACACGGCCCAAACUCCUACGGGAGGCAGCAGUAGGGAAACUUCGGCAAUGGACGAAAGUCUGACCGAGCAACGCCGCGGGAGUGAAGAAGGUUUUCGGAUCGUAAAACUCUGUUGGUAGAGAAGAACGUUGGUGAGAGUGGAAAGCUCAUCAAGUGACGGUAACUACCCAGAAAGGGACGGCUAACUACGUG
rnacentral:rRNA from 1 species